CGAUCCGAUGGCCCACGGCGAGCCGGGGUCGUUGGGGCCGGCCUGCAGCGUGUUGUUCGGCCCCUUGCGGAAGGC
rnacentral:tRNA from 1 species